rnacentral:rRNA from 1 species
GGGAAUCCGGUUCCUAUUCCGGAACCCGGCAGCGGAACCGCUCCAAUUCGGGCCCUCAUCCGAGGACUCGUCGGGGUGACCCGAAAUGACCCGGAGAAGCCGUAGGGAGGUCCGGGGAGAGUUGUCUCUUCUCUAUAAGCGUUCGAGUUCCCUGGAAGCCUCUAGGAGGGAGAUAGGGUUUGGAACGCGAAGAGCACCGCACUUACGGCGGUGUCCGGAUCUUCCCCUCGGACCUUGAAAAUCCGGGCGAGGGCCACGAGGAACACCGCGCCGGCUCGUACCCAUAUCCGCAGCAGGUCUCCAAGGUGAAUAGCCUCUAGUCGAUAGAAUAAUGUAGGUAAGGGAAGUCGGCAAACCCGAUCUGUAACUUCGGGAUAAGGAUUGGCUCUGAGGAUCGUGGCGCGCCGGGCUUGGUCGGGAAGUGGAGCGGUGCCAACGUGCCGGGCCUGGGCGAGGUGAAGGGCGCUUGUCGUCUGGACCCUAGCUCGGUCCCGUGCCUUGGCCACCCACGGACCUUCCUUGCUGCGAGCCUCCCGGCUGUCUAGUUUCCGGCCCAGCCGGAGUACGGGCCGGAAGGCUCUUCGGCCGCCAUAGAACGAUCAACUUAGAACUAGCACGGACCAAGGGG